rnacentral:rRNA from 1 species
AGCGGCGGAGGGGGAAUAAGGUUGGGAGACGCUGAGGGAGGGGGAGAAUACUGGAGAGGUAGCUAAACCGCAUGACCUCGAAAGAGCAAAGUGGGGGAAUCUUCGGACCUCACGCCAUCGGAUGUGCCCAGAUGGGAUUAGCUAGUAGGUGAGGUAAUGGCUCACCUAGGCGACGAUCCCUAGCUGGUCUGAGAGGAUGACCAGCCACACUGGAACUGAGACACGGUCCAGACUCCUACGGGAGGCAGCAGUGGGGAAUAUUGCACAAUGGGCGCAAGCCUGAUGCAGCCAUGCCGCGUGUGUGAAGAAGGCCUUAGGGUUGUAAAGCACUUUCAGCGAGGAGGAAGGCAUCAUACUUAAUACGUGUGGUGAUUGACGUUACUCGCAGAAGAAGCACCGGCUAACUCCGUGCCAGCAGCCGCGGUAAUACGGAGGGUGCAAGCGUUAAUCGGAAUUACUGGGCGUAAAGCGCACGCAGCGGUUUGUUAAGUCAGAUGUGAAUCCCCGCGCUUAACGUGGGAACUGCAUUUGAACUGGCAAGCUAGAGUCUGUAGAGGGGGUAGAAUUCCAGGUGUAGCGUGAAAUGCGUAAAGAUCUGGAGGAAUACCGGUGGCGAAGCGCCCCUGGACAAAGACUGACGCUCAGUGCGAAGCGUGGUGAGCAACAGGAUAAAUACCCUGGUAGUCCCGCUGUAACGAUGUCGACUGAAGGUUGUGCCCUGAAGGCUGGCUCGGACUAACCGUAAGUCGACGCCUGGGAGAUACGCCCAGUAACUCAAUGAAUGACUGGACCCGCCAGCGUGAACAUGUGUUAUUCAUGCACCGGAAG